AAGUCGUAACAAGGUAUCUGUAGGUGAACCUGCAGAUGGAUCAUUUCGAUGAAAACCUUUUUUCUGAGGUGUGGCUCGCACCUGUCCAACUAAACUUGAGCUACCAUUUUAACACGGUUGCAUCGGUUGGGCGUCUGUCGAAUAGCGCAAGCUAGGAAAGCAGCCGCCUGACACUUUACACAAACACUUUUGAUGAUCUAGGAUUUGAACGAAGUUCAUUUUAUUGAUGGAACCGACUGGUAAUGCGGUCGUCUAAAUCUAUAUAUAUAACUUUUGGCAACGGAUCUCUUGGUUCUC
rnacentral:misc_RNA from 1 species